AACGAGGCCGACCUGCGGCUGAGUUACCUGCGGAGGGAUCAUUAAUGAAUAAACUUGGUCAAGCUGUUGCUGGUUCUUCGGGACAUGUGCACGCUUGCCACCAAUUUUAACCACCUGUGCACCUUUGUAGACUGGAAACGUUUCUCGAGGCAACUCGGAUUGAGAAUUGCUGCGCGCAAGCCGGCUGUUCUUGUGUUUCUCAGUCUAUGUUUCUAUAUACUCCUAAUGUAUGUAUCUGAA
rnacentral:misc_RNA from 1 species